ensembl:lncRNA NADH:ubiquinone oxidoreductase subunit C1
CGUGCAUAUACAUAAACACACAUACAUGCACACGCGCAGGCCGCUGAGACCCCCAUCCCCCUCACGCCCACCUUCAGCCCACUCGCAGCCCCACCCUGUGACGCAGGCCGUGGCGGGGGCGGUGCCGUGACGCAACCACGCCGUUGCGAAGCUCAUUGGCUGGGGGCGCUAGCUCCGCCCCCUGCCCCUUAGUCGCUGCAGUUCCGCCGACCUUGCUGCUGGGUCGGAGCUGCUGCUGCUGUCUGCCUUCCUACGUCCGCGUGGGUCCGUGCAGAGCCCCCGGGAGAUGCUGGCCACCCUCUUGGCCCGGGCGCCCGGCGCCCUCCGCGCGUCCGCCGCCCUCCUUGCGCGCGCACCUCUUCGCCAGAUGUCAUCCGGCAGCACUGCCGCUGGCCCUCUUCGAUGGACUUCGGUUCUCUAUGCAGCUUCCGGUAUUUUUUCCGUUGGUGGCUUAUAUUAUGCUUACCGAAUAGUCAUGUCAAGCAAAGAGAGGUAUAAUGAACGGCUUCGUUAUACUGAAGAAGCACGUGAAAGGGAGCUGAAGGCUUGGUCACAAACCAAAAGUAAUGAAGACUCAGCUGAAGUCAAUGAAGCAAAGGAGGCGGCUACAGCUGUAGCUGCAGAAGAAGUUGAAGCAGCACCCACUGAUGGGCCUACAGAACAGAAGGAGGUGGCCAUGGAAACUGAAGGAGAAAAAGAAUUGCCAGGUGCAGAUGCAUCGCUUGCUGUAGAAGCAGCACAGCAGGAAGUUGCUGCUAGCUUGGAGGCUGCCCCAAUGCAAGAAACUCCUCGUGGUGUCUUGGAUGUUGCCGCUGCUUCUGCUCUUGAGGAGAAAUUAGAGAAUAUGCAGGAAGAAAUAGACUCUUCAGCUCAAGAGAGGCCUGAUGCAUCCCCAACAAAUGAGGAACCUUUUGCUGAGGGAUCUGGGCAAGCUUCAGAAGUUUCUGCUGAAAGAAAGGCAUCUGAAGAUGUUUCUAAGGAUUCUUAAAGGGAGCAACAGAGAAGCCUUCUGAAGAGUGUCACAGGAAUAUUUAUGACAAUCAACCAGCUAAUUUAUGUUGUAAAACCUAAUGUUCUUCCCUGGAGAUGUAAAACAAACCUUACAGGUUGUCAUGCUAAAACUGCUUGUCAGAAUUAGCAUUUUUAUAUUUUCAGUAGUAUUCAUUUAUUGCAACAGGCAAUCUCAGAAGAUUUAGGUUUGCCAGAGAGAAAUAAGCUACUCUAAUGGGAAAACUUCUUUCUAAAACAGAGAUAUAGUGGGUGCACCUACAUGUUCAUUAAUGCGCUUUUGCUAAUAUGCAUUAAUUUAGUUCCUCCAUUGUGAGGUGCUAGAUAAAGGUGCAUUGGCCUAUUUUAAUGUGCAUUAGCAAAAAUACACUGAUUUUUUGUGAUGCUUUAAGGAUCAUUAGAAUAGGCUAAUGAGCAUUAAAGUGCACAUGUAGACGCACCCAGUAUAAUGUAAUACAGAACCAAGACCCAGAUAGUACAUAUCAAAUCCACUUCUCAAGAGAAAGAAUAGAUUUAAUUACCAGUACAUAUAGGUCAAGUAGGUUUUAGAAAAUUUUAAAAAUCUAAAUCUAGGAAUUUAUGUUAUUUCUACCCUUUUUCCAGGCUGUGAUGGGUGAUAACAUUGUAACAUCCCAUACUAGCAAGAUGUUGCCCCAGACAAUCAUAGCAAAAGUACAGAGAAGUUUGAAAAACACACAUAAAACCAGAAAAUGAAGCAAUAUAGUAAGGUAUUGUCAGUGAUGAUAAUUUUAAGGCUGAGCCAGAUGUAAUAUAUACAGAAUCUCUUUUAUAUAGAAAAUGUGAAUCCUUGGGUGGAACCAAUAUUUCUUCUCUAAAGCUGAUGGAGAACUUUGGAAAGAAAAUGACAGUAUUGUAAGUGACAUGUGGAAUUCUUCCUACUAGUUAUUCACAAAAAUGUAUUCACUUUUCCCCAACUCUUAAAGCAAACUGGAAUGUUGUCAAGGAGAAAAUGUAAUGUGUUUCUCAGAUUAAGAAUAACCUGUAUAAUUUUGCAGAAGCAAAUUUAGGUUCCUGAACUUUUAUAAUCCAUAUUACAGCCUUUUACUUGAAAAAUAUUGCUACUGUGAAAAAAAACCCAAACCAAAUAUCACUGCAAGCAAAGCUACCUUGAAUAAAACCUUACCGUGGAAUUUCUAUGGCUGUGAA